GAUGGACGCUGGCGGCGUGCCUAAUACAUGCAAGUCGAGCGAAUGGAUUAAGAGCUUGCUCUUAUGAAGUUAGCGGCGGACGGGUGAGUAACACGUGGGUAACCUGCCCAUAAGACUGGGAUAACUCCGGGAAACCGGGGCUAAUACCGGAUAACAUUUUGAACCGCAUGGUUCGAAAUUGAAAGGCGGCUUCGGCUGUCACUUAUGGAUGGACCCGCGUCGCAUUAGCUAGUUGGUGAGGUAACGGCUCACCAAGGCAACGAUGCGUAGCCGACCUGAGAGGGUGAUCGGCCGCACUGGGACUGAGACACGGCCCAGACUCCUACGGGAGGCAGCAGUAGGGAAUCUUUCGCAAUGGACGAAAGUCUGACGGAGCAACGCCGCGUGAGUGAUGAAGGCUUUCGGGUCGUAAAACUCUGUUGUUAGGGAAGAACAAGUGCUAGUUGAAUAAGCUGGCACCUUGACGGUACCUAACCAGAAAGCCACGGCUAACUACGUGCCAGCCGCCGCGGUAA
rnacentral:rRNA from 1 species